rnacentral:rRNA from 1 species
UACGUAGGGGCAAGCGUUGUCCGGAAUCAUUGGGCGUAAAGAGCGUGUAGGCGGUUCGGUAAGUCGGCUGUGAAAGUCCAGGGCUCAACCCUGGGAUGCCGGUCGAUACUGCCGGACUAGAGUUCGGAAGAGGCGAGUGGAAUUCCCGGUGUAGCGGUGAAAUGCGCAGAUAUCGGGAGGAACACCUAUGGCGAAGGCAGCUCGCUGGGACGUUACUGACGCUGAGACGCGAAAGCGUGGGGAGCAAACAGG